rnacentral:rRNA from 1 species
CCUACGGGAGGCAGCAGUGGGGAAUAUUGGGCAAUGGGCGCAAGCCUGAUCCAGCAACGCCGCGUGAGUGAAGAAGGCUUUCGGGUUGUAAACUUCUUUUAUUGAGGACGAAACAGUUGACGGUACUAACUGAAUAAGCCACGGCUACCUACGUGCCAGAAGCCGCGGUACUACGUAGGGGCAAAGCGUUAUAUGGAUUUACUGGGUGUAUAGGGCGUGUUGGCGGGACUGCAAGUCAGAUGUGAAAACCAUGGGCUAAACCCGUGGCCUGCAUUUGAAACUGGAGGGCUUGAGUGAUGGAGAGGGAGGCAGAAUGCCGUGUGUAGCGGUGAAAUGCGUAGAUAUACGGAGGAACACCGGUGGCGAAGGCGGCCUGCUGGACAUAAACUGACGCUGAGGCGCGAAAGCGUGGGGAGCAAACAGGAUUAGAUACCCCUGUAGUC